rnacentral:lncRNA from 1 species
AAUGAAGAAUAUAUGGAUUGGUCCUGAACCUAAUUGAUUUCAAUAUUGUUAUUUGAGUACACUGACUGCCUUAGAGGGGUCAGGCUUCAGUGAUUCCCUAUUUAAUCAAUCAAAUUUCUCCCAGAAAAAAAAGGGGGGGUUCGCCCCCUCUAAAUCCGCUUCUGGAGUAUCCCCAUAAUUGAAACCAAAUUGGAACCAUUCUAAGUAUUACAAGAAAGGAAACAUAUAGGUUAGGGAUACCUGAUGAGGAUAGGUGACCGUAACCGAAACACCUUUAGUAUUAGAACCACAGACCAGAUUUUGAUUUUUAUUCUAAAUAUACACACACAAUAAAUAUACUACAAGC